CAUAAGUGUAGCUAUGAGUUUUCGCGUCCAACUUUGAUCGUCCGUUUUAUUUAAAUUUUUUUUAUAAUUAGCAUUUUUGUUGUUAUAAGAUGAUAAAACAUGGAUAUUACUUUACUCGUGACUUAUGUCUUUAAUUUUUUUUAAAAAAAAAUUAAAUAAGACGAAUGGUCAAAAUUGAGCGCUGAAAUCUAUGGCUGCACUUAUU
rfam:Oryza rufipogon genomic scaffold, chr04